AAUAGAUACCCCGGUAGUCCACGCCGUAAACGUUGGGCGCUAGAUGUGGGGACCAUUCCACGGUUUCCGCGUCGUAGCUAACGCAUUAAGCGCCCCGCCUGGGGAGUACGGCCGCAAGGCUAAAACUCAAAGGAAUUGACGGGGGCCCGCACAAGCGGCGGAGCAUGCGGAUUAAUUCGAUGCAACGCGAAGAACCUUACCAAGGCUUGACAUAUGCGAGAACGCUCUAGAAAUAGAGAACUCUUUGGACACUCGUAUACAGGUGGUGCAUGGUUGUCGUCAGCUCGUGUCGUGAGAUGUUGGGUUAAGUCCCGCAACGAGCGCAACCCUCGUCGCAUGUUGCCAGCACGUAAUGGUGGGAACUCAUGUGAGACUGCCGGGGUCAACUCGGAGGAAGGUGGGGAUGACGUCAAAUCAUCAUGCCCCUUAUGUCUUGGGCUUCACGCAUGCUACAAUGGCCGGUACAAAGGGCUGCGAAACCGCAAGGUGGAGCGAAUCCCAAAAGCCGGUCUCAGUUCGGA
rnacentral:rRNA from 1 species